AAUUUCAAACUAUGAAAAGGGAAUGAAAACACAUGAAGAUAGUUUCAUCACCUACAAAUUUUAUAAUUCUUAGAUAAUAAAUUACACCACUACAAAUUUUUUACUUCUUAGAUGAUGUGAAUAUCAUCCAAAAUUUUGAAUUGUGAAUCUUAAGCAAGCCUAGCUUUCAGUCAAUUAGUAUUAAAUCACUCACGUAUUAGAAUUUAGAUCAUGUCUUACCCUAAGAACAAACAGGCACCACAUUAUUACCGGGAAUUACAUAAAAUGGUGAUUUCAAUAUGAGAAAACUAUAAAUUCAGUACCAAAAACUCCAAAGUAUUUAAAAAAAAUUCCAAAAACAAUAAAAAGAUAAGGCACUGAGCAACAUAACAAAUGAAUCAAAUAGAAUCAUCCAAAACAAAUGCAUUAGUGAUGCACAAAAUCAUAGUCACGGAAUACAUACCAUCGCGUUUAACAAAAUCACCA
rnacentral:misc_RNA from 1 species